rnacentral:rRNA from 1 species
UACGAAGGGGGCUAGCGUUGCUCGGAAUCACUGGGCGUAAAGGGCGCGUAGGCGGGUGCUCAAGUCCGGGGUGAAAUCCUCCAGCUCAACUGGAGCAACUGCCUCGGAUACUGGGUGUCUCGAGGGUGGUAGGGGUAUGCGGAACUAUCGGUGGGAGCGGUGAAUGCGUUGAUAUCGAUAGGAACUCCGGUGGCGAAGGCGGCAUACUGGCCACAUCUGACGCUGAGGCGCGAAAGCCAGGGGAGCAAACGGG